rnacentral:lncRNA from 1 species
CACAACCGGGGAACCAACUACCUCUGAUACCCACCCAAAUAAACAACGCCAGCCUUUAUCCCUAUCGAAAAACCACAGCCCAGAAAUUCCAUUCCCACGGUGAACCACCGUAAAACCUCCUCCACCCGAACAACCUUAUCUGCCAAAAAAGAAGAAGAAAAAAUCAGUAUCCAUCCAAAUCAGUUCCCUCUCCUCCAAACCCCCGACCAGACAACACCAGCCUUCCCUCACAAACCACCAAACCACUCUCUGCCCAAAACACCAGCCUUCAUCUUCUUCAAACAGCACCAUCCUCUGACCGACAACCUUCCACCGUGACUAUCACCUCUCCCCGCAGAUUCAACCCAAAGCCAGAGUCUCCACUCCCACUCUACACGCUGAC